AUUGAGCAUCAGAAGCGUAGUGGUAAACUGCAACCAUCACCUAUCCCAAAUUGGAAAUGGGAGAAAGUUUCUAUGGAUUUUGUCACAGGACUAGCAGAGAUCUAUGUAACACUCCAGUUUCAGGAAUAUAGUGAUGCAUGCGGAGAGGUUUAAAAGAAUUGAUUUGGCCACCUAUGUCACCAAAGUGCACUUAUCUUUUCGGUCAAACGUCUUUAGAGAACUCCACAGUUAAGCGUGUUUGCGCUGGAUUAGUUUCAGGAUGGUUGACCUUCUAGGAAGUGAUUGUCGGAACCAUGCAGGUGAGGACAAAGCAUGGAAAAAAAUCAUGUGGUGAUUUGUGGGGUCGUUAACAAGCCUUUAAAGCCUCCUAGACACGGCGCACCGACCGUCUGACAGGGGUGGGCCCAUGGGCCUGAGA
rnacentral:sRNA from 1 species